AUGUAGGAAUCAAUCCCAAAGAAAUAGUUGGAGAUCUGGCAGACUUUAACACAAAAAUGUCUAGUAACAUUGUUUUCAUACCCCCAAAAUAGAACAUAAAUGUCUGUUAAUAAGGCGGCUAAAUAUCUUACAAUAUGUCUAUUUGACAAAAAAAAUCUAUGCAGUUAUUAAAACUAUUUCAAAGAAUGAUGGUGGUUGGACAUUUCCUAAAAAUGUAUAUAAA
rnacentral:lncRNA from 1 species